ACCUCUAGCAUUACUAGUAUUAGAGGCACCGCCUGCCCAGUGACACACGUUUAACGGCCGCGGUACCCUGACCGUGCAAAGGUAGCAUAAUCACUUGUUCUCUAAAUAGGGACUCGCAUGAAUGGCAUCACGAGGGUUUAACUGUCUCUUACUUUCAACCAGUGAAAUUGACCUGUCCGUGAAGAGACGGACAUGAAUUAAUAAGACGAGAAGACCCUGCGGAGCUUCAAUUUACUAGUACAACUAAAAACCACACAAACCCACAGGUCUUUAAACCCCCAUGCCUGUACUAAAAAUUUUGGUUGGGGUGACCUCGGAGCACAGUCAAACCUCCGAACAAUCCAUGCUAAGACUACACAAGCCAAAGCAAACCAAUACUUGCAAUUGACCCAAUAACUUGAUCAACGGAACAAGUUACCCCAGGGAUAACAGCGCAAUUCUAUUCUAGAGUCCAUAUCAACAAUAGAGUUUACGACCUCGAUGUUGGAUCAGGACAUCCUAAUGGUGCAGCAGCUAUCAAG
rnacentral:rRNA from 1 species